UCAUGCCUGUGCCCUUUGCCAGGAAGGUCGCGAGCUUCGUCGAAGGUUACCUCAUCCCGGGUUCAAUGCUCAGCCUGUCCUGGUCAUGAUGCCUCCUGGGGAGCAGACCAUGGGCCGUGGGGCCUGAGUGCAUGCCGUCCAUGUCCUGCCUUACAAUGAAAGAAAGAAUUCUAGUAGCUUGUCCAUAUUUUUAUCAGUGUCAUGUCAUGUUGUUGUAAAAUAAUGUUUAAAAGUUUUCAUCUACAUUAUCUAAGCCACCAUCAUAGACUGAUUACUUCGUCUGGUCAUACCAAAUAACAUAUGAUUUAUAUAUGGGUUUUACAUAUGUUUUGUUUAUAAUGUAUUAUUAUAUCUUACUCUCUUUUUUAAAAAGAAGUUGGUGUGAUGUUCUACAUUUCAUUAUUACUUUUUAAUUCUUUAAUUUGAUAAGGAUACGAAAGAAUCCUGAAAAUAUAAGGAAGAUUCCAACUUCAUACCAGUGAAUCUGCGGACUGCGAUCCAAAUAGCCAACCCUGGAGAUUGAAAAUGUUAGUAUUUCCAUCCUAUUCUCUUUCCCAACCAGCAUUACCAUCCUAAUGAAGUAAAUUAUAUUCC
rnacentral:lncRNA from 1 species